rnacentral:rRNA from 1 species
UACAGAGGGUGCGAGCGUUGUUCGGAAUUAUUGGGCGUAAAGCGCGUGUAGGCGGCCCAGCAAGUCAGGUGUGAAAGCCCUCGGCUUAACCGAGGAAGUGCGCCUGAAACUGUUGGGCUUGAGUACCGGAGAGGGUGGUGGAAUUCCCGGUGUAGAGGUGAAAUUCGUAGAUAUCGGGAGGAACACCAGUGGCGAAGGCGACCACCUGGACGGCUACUGACGCUGAGACGCGAAAGCGUGGGGAGCAAACAGG